rnacentral:lncRNA from 1 species
GGAAACCCUAAUGGGGCGAGGCGCUUUUUAAAGGGGGAGCGGGGGCAUCGCAGAGUCUCGCCCCAACAUUCAAGAGCUUCCGCAACUUCUUCCCGGAGCUCACUGCGAGCGUUCGAGCGACGCUCUUCGUGAGUAUAAUUCUUUCUCUCCUUCCGUCGGAAUAUUCUCUGCGACUUCCUGCCAUUUGCAUCCAUCACAUCUCCCCAGAGGCUGGGGCUUAUUCAUCUCCUUUUUGUCUGCGUUGUGGAUUGUUGGUUUCUAAUAGAUUUUGCGUUGUACUUUCUUCCGGAUCCCUUGUUUUCCUGUUUCUUCGUACAUGAGGCUUGGAUCUUUCAGAUCUUGGGACUGAUAGAUGAUAGAUGUUUCGUCGUGGUAUUUUUCAUCGGACUACCCCGUCUGGGAUCCCGAGCGUCGUUUCAUCCGUCGUUUUGAAACGCCGUCCUCCCAGUUUUUUAAUCUUUAUAUUGCAAAUCGCCAAAGCUUCUCGAAGGUGAUCAGUUUUGUGUGCUCAGAUUUUGCAGUUUGUGGAUGUCAUCCCUUGAAUCAUUCAUUCAUUUACUAAAGGAGAUGAUAGGGUAAUAAUAAUCGAUUAUGUACCUUACAAAUGCUGUCGAUGAGCGUCGAGGAGUACGGAGUCUAUUGCUAACAAGCUUUUAGAAUCCGAUUUUCUUUUAUCCAAUUUUUGGUGCACUUCUACUCAAUAUCACAUGGUUUCCAUAUAAAAAUUGAAAUAGAUUCCCGUUGAAAAUUUAUGCUCGAAAUAUGGUUAUAGUUUCUUAUAAUACUGUGACAUUUCUCGAAAUAUGCCACCUUUUAAAAUUUUUGGGUGAUAUAAACUGGAAUUAAGUUGCUCACAAUACCUAUUUCCCUUGUAAAUCGACAGGUUCAGUUUUAAGCAGCGAUCAUGGGCAAAGAGAAGGUUCNN